rnacentral:rRNA from 1 species
UACGUAGGGUGCAAGCGUUAAUCGGAAUUACUGGGCGUAAAGCGUGCGCAGGCGGUGAUGUAAGACAGGUGUGAAAUCCCCGGGCUUAACCUGGGAACUGCAUUUGUGACUGCAUCGCUGGAGUGCGGCAGAGGGGGAUGGAAUUCCGCGUGUAGCAGUGAAAUGCGUAGAUAUGCGGAGGAACACCGAUGGCGAAGGCAAUCCCCUGGGCCUGCACUGAC